GUUCUUUACAACCUAUAAAGUGUUUUGAAACUUACUGUGCGUAAUAAUUUGGAACAGUGCAUUGUAAGUUUUUUUAUGUUUAAAAAAAAUACUGUUAUCAUUAGGAGGUUUGUUCAAUAAAAUUUGAAUUGUACAGUUGAUAACACGAGAAUUUUGCUGACUGUUAUUUACAUCAAUUAUUUAGGGAAAUGAGAAAAAUAUAAUUUGCAUAAUAAUUUGGAACAAGGUGUGU